UCCCUUAACUUUAGCUUUAGCAUCCAAAGCUUUUAAGCAACAUGUCGUCGGAUUUACUGUUAUCAGUUCGAGUCCGAUUCAGAAAAUGUGGACACUCAAGCGGAACCAACUUUGAAAACAUGACUCGAGCAGAAUGUUUCACAGUGCCAUGGAAAAAUGUUUGCCCUGAGCAGUCCAAAGCCUUCCUGAGAGGUGAUCUCCAGCCUGUAUUUAGGUUGAGAAAAAGGAGGACUUUCCAUGAAGCCAUGUAUCACCAUCACAGGCAGAUGAAGCUUAUUUAGUUCCUGCAGCCUGCACUGCAGAAGGCACAGACAAAAAGUCUCCACAAAAAGUCUGUGUCAGUCAGUGGUGCCAGUCGGUGGCACUGUAAUGACCUCACUGUUUCAGUUCCGCUGCCUCAGAUUCUUUGUAUAGAGGAUGAAGAAGUUGCUGAGGCCCUGGAAAGGUUCUUCAAUAGAGAGUGUUCGUGGAUCAUGAUGCUGUAGCGCCACUGAUGUUUGUUUUUACAUUUAUGCAGGACAUGCAUACAUUUCUGGAGCAUGCUGUCAACUAAAUGAAGCUUAGGAUCUACUGCCAAAAAGUUGAGUAAUUGUAACAAUAGUUCCUUUAAUCAUUUAUUUUGUUUUGUAUUAAUUUAUCAUCCAUGUAUUGUGUUAAAUAGUCCACAUUUUCUCAUAGUGGUGUUAUGGAAUUGUCAUGUUUUGUGUUUUAUUUUUAUUCAUUAUUAUAUUUAUUGUAUUAUUAUCAUUUACUAAAGUCAUAAUCAGCAACUGUCUUGUGUUAAAUUCUUUCUGGUUUCUUUGAAAUAUUGGUAUGACAAUCUUGUCAGCAUAUUAAAUAUUGA